GACGAGGGCGCGAGCGUGUCCGGAUUUAUUGGGCGUAAAGAGCCUCGUGAGCGGCUUUGUCGCGUCGACUGUGAAAACCCGCGGCUCCAACUGUGGGCUUGCAGUUCGAUACGGGCAGGCUGGAGUUCGGUAGGGGAGACUGGAAUUCCUGGGUGUAGCGGUGGAAAUGCGCAGAUAUCAGGAGGAACACCGGUGGCGAAGGCGGGUCUCUGGGCCGAUACUGACGCUGAGGAGCGAAAGCGUGGGGAGCGAACAGG
rnacentral:rRNA from 1 species